rnacentral:lncRNA from 1 species
GUUAACAGACAGCAGUAUAAGGGUUAACAGACAGGGUUAACAGACAGCAGUAUAAGGGUUAACAGACAGGGUUAACAGACAGCAGUAUAAGGGUUAACAGACAGGGUUAACAGACAGCAGUGUAAGGGUUAACAGACAGGGUUAACAGACAGCAGUGUAAGGGUUAACAGACAGCAGUGUAAGGGUUAAUAACAGCAGUGUAAGGGUUAAUAACAGACAGCAGUGUAAGGGGUUAAUAACAGCAGUGUAAGGGUUAACAGACAGCAUGUAAGGGUUAAUAACAGACAGCAGUGUAAGGGUUAACAGACAGCAGUGUAAGGGUUAACAGACAGCAGUGUAAGG